rnacentral:rRNA from 1 species
AUUGAACGCUGGCGGCAUGCUUUACACAUGCAAGUCGAACGGUAACAGGUUAAGCUGACGAGUGGCGAACGGGUGAGUAAUGCAUCGGAACGUGCCCGGUCGUGGGGGAUAACGCAGCGAAAGCUGCGCUAAUACCGCAUACGAUCUGAGGAUGAAAGCGGGGGACCGUAAGGCCUCGCGCGAUCGGAGCGGCCGAUGUCGGAUUAGGUAGUUGGUGGGGUAAAGGCUCACCAAGCCAACGAUCUGUAGCUGGUCUGAGAGGACGACCAGCCACACUCGGACUGAGACACGGCCCAGACUCCUACGGGAGGCAGCAGUGGGGAAUUUUGGACAAUGGGCGAAAGCCUGAUCCAGCAAUGCCGCGUGCAGGAAGAAGGCCUUCGGGUUGUAAACUGCUUUUGUACGGAGCGAAAAGGUCUCCUCUAAUACAGGGGGCGCAUGACGGUACCGUAAGAAUAAGCACCGGCUAACUACGUGCCAGCAGCCGCGGUAA